UGCUUAAUGAAAAUUUGAACAUUGGACUCUACCAGUGUGGCAAGAGAGCUGUUUGUUCAUUACAUAUAAUGCUGGUCUGCCUUUCCUGUGUAAGAACUUGGCCAACAAGAAUUUACUGACCAUUUGAACCACACUGAUCUGGUGUCCCUGCAAAAUCAUGCUUUAAAAAAAUAAACAUUUUUCAGCAAAGGAGUUAUGGCAGUAGGGACAUCCUUGGGAUUCACUGAUUGUCUUCCUUACUGUACUGCCAGAGAUGAACAGGCAAUAAAAGGAGACAGCAUAUUGUCAAGAGUAAUUAGCCCUGAUCAUCAAGGAAAGACUUUCAUCUGUGGGGGACCCUAAAGGAGGUCAUAUAUCAUGGAAAAUCAACUAUCUUGCCAGCCCUUGGAGAAGAAAUGGAAAAUGCAUGUGCAGCAAUCCCAAUGGAUAUGUUGACCAAGGUUACACAAGCAGCAGUUCACCGUACUAAUAAAUAUCUGAAAGCAAAUGACCAUCACUUUGAGAACCUCUUGGAGUUGGAGAGGCCAAAGGAAUAUCUUGUGCACGUUGAUUCCAGGAAGCAGAAAAGAAUGGAUUAUAGACACUGUGAAACUUAAUGGAUCCUCAGUAAAUGGAACAAAGUAAUACAUAUGGCAGAUAUUGAGUCUUUUGGAGAUUAUGUUCAGUUCUCUAUUAUAUUAACAUCUUCAGGGUUAGGGGGGUGUAUGAAUAUUUUAACUUUAAGGAAGAUACUACUUGAUACUAGUUGGAUGUUUUUCAAAUUUCCUUGAUAUGUAUCCUAGUAUUUUGCUGCCUUAAUGGAUUACUUCGUUUAUAUGGUGUUGUUUAUAAAUAAUGCCCUCUCAGAUUUGCUCUAUGUCAUACCUUCAAAGUAUUUGGCUGACUUUUUAAAAAGCAGUAGAAAAUUUAAAUUUUAGGGGAAUAUUUUCAGUCCUGGGAAUCUUCUAAAUGCUUCAGAAAUUAUCAAUACAAGGCAAAUAAAUGAAAUGAAAAAAAGACAUUGAAGAAAAAGCAGUGAAGUAGCUUUGAAAAUGAUUAAAGUUCCCGGACUAUAACGCGUUUGUCAUUAGUAUUUCCAUGUUAUAAAUACAAAAAUUUUGACCUACCAGUCCACUGAACUUACAGUUUUUAGUGAUAUAUUGAAAAUAUUUAUAAUAACCAAAAUAGCUACAUAGAAACUUUGGGAUGUAAGCAUGAUAGUAAUAUCUAAAAGAAUAUUUUAUAAUAAAAAGGUGGGAUAAGAGGUUUUGUUAUUACUAAAAUGAUUUAUUUAGCAUUGCUUUCCUUGAAACAUUUGCGAAAUGAGUACUUAAAAUAAUGGAGACCAAAAUAGCUUAUUUAUUUAUUUUCUUGCAUAUUUUUUCUCCAUAUAUACAUUUUUUUCCUGAUGAUGCAAUUAUUCAAUUCAAAAACUAAAUUUUCUCACUUCCUUAUAUAAAAUGUUUUUUCUUAUUAUUCUUUUUUAUUUUGUAAACAUAUAUUAACCAUUUCCUAAUACUAUUUAUUCUAAUUGCCUGGAGGAACCUUUUUUUCCUUUCCAAUUCAAGCAAAUUUUGGAGUGUGCCCUAGGUAGUUGAAAUAUUCUGGCUCAUGACCAAAUUUAAUUUUUUCUCUUCCUAAUGCAUCCUACCAGUACAAGUGACUAAUAAAAUAGACACUAGCUGGAUCUGGAGAUUAAUCCAGCACCAUUUUUUUCCUGAAUCUAAAAUCUCCAUCAUUAAUUUACCUACAAAUUAUUUUGACUCUAUACUUAUGAGGGAAGAAUUACUAUAGAUGUAGUGUGUUUCUUCAAACUGAUGUAGAAAUAAAUAUGAAAUUUGUCCUCUCUAGUUUGGAAAUAUGUAUUACUGAAAUAGCAUGUCAAAAAUACCUUCUUGUUAUCUGGGAAUUCAAUUUGGUCUUCAGCAAGAACACUCGUUUUAAUAAAAUAUAAAAAAAUAAAAUAAAUAUAUCUGCUGGAAUGAAAUCUGAGUUCUUGAGAAUAUAAUUUAAUAUGAGCCACUGAAUACAAGGUUAAUUCAUCUUCAUAGCAUGAGAAAUGAAAAGGAUUUGGGGGAUAAAAUGAGGUAGACCAGAAAGAAAUGUGGGUAUAACGUAUAGAAAAUACCAUCCCCAGAUUAUUUUACAAAGCAUCACAAAAUGAGACAUUUGAGAGACAAUUCUCCAUAGUUCUCUCUUUUCUCUCUUUUGAAUGACUCACUGACAGCCUUUGGUUUGGACAAUGUUUUUAAAGAUAUUUAUAUAAAAGUACGCCUUGAAAGGAAAGAUAAUCUCAUAAUAAAGAGGAGAAGGCUGA